AGCUCCAAUAGCGUAUAUUAAAGUUGUUGCAGUUAAAAAGCUCGUAGUUGGAUUUCUGGCAGGAGCGGCCGGUCGUGCACUCUGUGCAUGAACUUGUGCUGUCUCUGGCCAUCCUCGGGGAGAUCCUAUUUGGCAUUAAGUUGUCGAGUAGGGGAUACCUGUCGUUUACUGUGAAAAAAUUAGAGUGUUUAAAGCAGGCUUAUGCCGUUGAAUAUAUUAGCAUGGAAUAAUAAGAUAGGACUUCGGAACUAUUUUGUUGGUUUGCGUUACGAAGUAAUGAUUAAUAGGGACAGUUGGGGGUAUUCGUAUUUCGUUGUCAGAGGUGAAAUUCUUGGAUUUCCGAAAGACGAACUACUGCGAAAGCAUUUACCAAGGAUGUUU
rnacentral:rRNA from 1 species